AGGAGCCUAGAUCAAGGGGAACUCAUAGUGACAUGAUGAUUAUUGUAUCUUCAGGCAAGGCUUUUUCACUGGAGCUCCUUGUCUGCACCACGCUUGCAGAAAUUUGGUUCAAAUGCCUCCAAAUUGCAUACACUCUGACAACGGUGAAGGAAAAGGAAUUUCUUCUUCCCUGACUGCAGUAUUCCUCUAGACCCUCAUCUUCGGAAAUGAUAAAGUUGGGGUGCCUGGUGGCUCAAUUGGUUAAGCAUCUGAUUUCACCAUUCAUGAGUUCACCGUUCAUGAGUCUGAGGCCUGUGUAAGAGCUCUGUGCUGACAGUGCCUAGACCAGCUUCAGAUUCUGUGACUCCCUCUCUCUGCUCUACCCCACUUCUGUGCUGCUCUCUCCCAAAAAUAAAUAAAAACUUUAAACCAAAAAAAAUUUUUUUAAAUAAAAAAAUGGCAAGGUUAGGGGAAAUGGUUAAGAGCACAUUUUAUUUAUCUAGACCUACGCCCCUUACAUAGCAAUUGCAUCUUUCUUUUAUUUCACUUGGUGGGGAAACUCAAAGAAUGCAGUGUUUCACAAUUCAAAUUAAAGCUAAAAACACACCAGGCUGAUUUUCUGGGAGUGAGCAGUAGGGGAGGAAAUUUAUGAUGGCAUAACUGCAUGAAGACUUUUUAGCACCAGAAAGAUGUUUUACAGCAUGAAAGAAAAAUAUGUAUGUUGAGAAAGAACAUGAAUGCUAGAAACACAUCGUUACUAUAAAUUUUGAAUCUGAGACACAAUUCACAAUGCUGCUUUACUAAUAGUGCAGCUUUAAACCUAUUUAAGCUGGGAAAUUUGUUAUCAGGUGACUCAUACAUGUGGGGAAAUCCAGUUCAUGUGUGCCAAAGAUGAAAGAAAGCGAUUAGGUGUUUAAAUGUUAAGAUUCCAUUCAGUCUUGUGAAUGAACUGCAGUAAUCUUGAUGAGAAAAAAAGCAAAGGGCAGUUACUCAUCAAGUUAAAAAAUGCUGAAGGACUCUCUGGAUUUAAAUAAUAAAACCUUAUAUUUAUGACACAUU
rnacentral:lncRNA from 1 species